UACGAAGGGGGCUAGCGUUGUUCGGAAUCACUGGGCGUAAAGGGCGCGUAGGCGGCUGAUCAAGUCGGGGGUGAAAGCCUGUGGCUCAACCACAGAAUGGCCUUCGAUACUGGUCGGCUUGAGACCGGAAGAGGUUAGUGGAACUGCGAGUGUAGAGGUGAAAUUCGUAGAUAUUCGCAAGAACACCAGUGGCGAAGGCGGCUGACUGGUCCGGUUCUGACGCUGAGGCGCGAAAGCGUGGGGAGCAAACAGG
rnacentral:rRNA from 1 species